GGGAGUAGCCUACGCAUUUGACCCACUGGACAUUGGGAUGGUACAAAACUCUGUAUUCGUAGCCUUUUCUUCUCCACCGCUCUCUCACUCUCUCUCUUUCUCUCUCCUCUAUCCCUUUAUGUCUUCAGCGAGACAAUUCUUUAGUACCGACGAUAGCUCUUGCUGCUCCAUGUCGCAGGUCUGCUCUAACGCGAGCUCACCGCCGGCUUCGAGCUUUCGGUGAGUGCCCCCAUCCAGGCUCCUUUUUCUUGGCUUGCAUCAUUAUUUUUCACGGUGGCUUUUUUGCACGCUUCAUGCGCUGAUCUGAAUCACAUGCGAGCUGAGGAUGAGAGGGUGGAGUGGUCCUGGGUCUCCGGGAGGUGCCACAGGAUCUCUUGAUGCGCUUGUGUCAGAUGCAUCAAAGCGCUGGAGAUUUUCAGCAAGGAGAGCUGAUGGACAAGAAAUGCAAGCUCCGCAACUAAUCUGAAAACUCAUACAACUAAAUCUGGCAAUUAGAGACAAACUAGUCUGGUAGGUGUGUGUGAGUACAAGAAAUCCACCUUUGACAACUUGAGACAAUUAAUGUGGAAACCGACAGGGCUAAUCCAACAAUUAGAGACAACUAAUCUGUAGCUAGGGGUACAGAGUACAACAAAUCCAUCUUUAUCCAGCUAAGGCAUUUUAAUUUGAAAACUGAUAUAGAUAAAGCUGGCAACCAAGGGAAUGGACACUAAACAUGUUUAAACUCUUGUGCAACUAUAAGUAUUUUGUAAUCUAGUGACUAAUAAUAUGAAAUAUGGCUACCACAUGCUUGUAUUUUUGUAAUAUGAUGACUAAGAAUAUGAAAUAUGGCAACCAAAUGCUUGUAUUUUUGGCAACUAAUCACUUACAAUGUGACAACUAAGUACGUACUUGUAACGUCCAAAGAUGUGGUCCUAUCCUUAUUUUGGCGCGAGGGUCUCGACAGGGAUAGAAACGCAUCUCGUCGUUUCGCAAGAAUGGAUAUAGUUACAAAUACAUAUACUGAAAUGAUGAGUAUAAAGAGUUGGCUUACACUCGCCAAA
rnacentral:lncRNA from 1 species